CCAACUUCAGUGGCUAGCCCAAGGCAAAGGACCUGAAGGACAAUGCAAACCACCACUGUAAAAACCAGUGCACAUAAUGCAAGGAGGAAGGUCAUUGGGUCAGAUAUUGCCACAAAAAGGGACCCAGGAAUCAGAAUAAGUUCCUGGCUCUGGAGGAUCAGCAUUUGUGUUGAAGUUUGAAUUUGUCUCAGCAGAUUUUCACCUGGUUGAGACUGCAAGCUGAGAUCUGCACUUGCUGGAAGCUGACAUGAUUGCUCACUGCCUCCUUGGAUGGAUCACCUACCCAGACGUUUCUGAGGACUGCCCCACUGCGCAGCCUUUGGCUGGCAUUUGAGUCUUCCUAGCCCCUGAUGCCAACAGUGCUAUUGUCAUCAUUAAAGCAGUUUCAGAAGAAGAGACCACCGGCCCCAAAUCCCACCAACAGGCUGAAAUGCUAGGUCAAAGGGGACUCCUUGACAUUAGCUAUUAUCUUGGGGACAGGUUUUGCUGGAGCAUAAAUUAGUGUUCCAAUACUUGAUGUACAAAGCGAGAAUUAUAACAGCUCAAAAGCAGAAUCUUUUGCUAUUGGUCAUUUUUGGAUUAUGCUUACUUAAUAAGUUGUUAGGAUAUAUUAGGCAAAGACUGGAGACUAUACAGUUGAUGAUAAUUGGAACCCAGUACUGCCAGCUUGGAGAUGACCUUGAACUCUAAGAGCCCAUAUUGGCCUCUUCAGGUACAUGGAAAAGGAAAAAUAAAGAGUUUAAGUUAGCCUGGGCAUAGGUAGCCUGAGUAUAACUCCAUUUUUAAAAUAAAGAGCCAUCUUGACUGGGAGCUGAAUUCAGGUACCAGGUAAUAUCACAAAAUGUGCACCUGGCAGAAAACAAAGUUAACUCUCCUAGCAACAGCUUUCAGGAAAUAUCACAGAAUAAAUACUUCAUAGAAAAUAGAGACAAUCUCCCUGGCAAUAAUCAAUGAAAAUUGGUUGAGAAUCAUGUGGGAAAAUUCUCCCCAUGUUUCAGAUAUAGAUUAAAAGAAUAGCCAUUGUGAUCAUAAGUCUUAGGCAAUUGUGCCUAAGCCAAGCAUAUGCCUUAGGCAAUUGUGAUUCAGAGGUCUCCUCAGCCCUCUAACUUUUACCUAAUCCUGUAAUGUCAAGGCAUAGGACCCCAUUUGCUGUCAUAGAAACAUGUGCCCCCCUCUUUGUUGUCAUGGAAACACCCUGAUCACAGACUUUCCCUUUAAAAACCCUGCUCACUCAGGGCUCAAGGUUCCACUUCUCUACUACUGCAUCAGUGAGACUUGCUUCCCGAGUUUGAGUAUUCUCUUAAUAAAGCUCUCUUGCUAUUGCAUUGUUUUGUCUCUGAGGUUCCCAUGAACUUGGCAUUGCAAUAGCACUGAAGCUGAGAGGAGGCUGAGAGCUUUUUAAAAUUAAAUUCUGUUGCUGGAGCUGAGAGGAGGCUGAGAGCUUUUUAAAAUUAAAUUCUGUUGCUUUUGGGGAAGGUUAUAAUAUAGCCCAGGCUGGCCUUACUUCACUGUAGCCAAGGCUGGCAGGCCUGAAGAUUGCUCAAAGGCUGAACACAGGCUGGGAUGCAACCUGGAUCUCAAAGGUGUGAGGGGCCACCUGGGAAUGAGAAACAACUGUGAUUAUUUGAAUUGAAGCCAGGUGCAGAGAGCUCUUGAAGGGCGGGGUGAACUGUUCUGAGAAGCAACCAGCUGUAAACUAUCUACAACCAUCUGUAAACUAUAGAGCAGAGUGAUCUGAUUUUCAGGUAUAAAAACCCUGUGCUCUGCAUGUUCAGGGUCAUCUCCUGUCUUUGGAAAGGCAACCCUAUCUCGACAGCAAUAAAACCUCUUGCUUUGGCAUUGA